UGCGUCGACGUUUCGACCUAAUUUGGUCUUCUUCAGGACUGGGCACAUGUAACAGCUAAGGCUGCUGGGCCCCAAUUCAUAGGGGUGGACCAGCCAGCAGCCAGAAAGAAAUGAAAAGCCCUACCAACUUGUCUCCCUUUUAUAUCCCCUCCGCCAAAAAUUAGACUGAAUUUACUUGUAUUUAAGUUAUUUUCUACUCUAUUUAGUUUUUGAAAUCUUAACCCUUUCUGCACCGCUUGUGCUUUAAAUCCAUAUUAAUUAUGUUUAUUCACAUAUUUGUGCUUUUAAUAAACAAAUUAAUAGGUAUUUUUGAUCCCAAUAUUAGGGUUAGGGUCCUGCUUGACCUUUGACCUCUGUGGCCUGCUUGGCCGUUGGUCAUUAAGUUGCCUCUAAUGGUUAGGGUUAGGGCGAGUCCCAGGUUAGGGUUAGAAUCCCAUACUAGGGUUAGGGUUAGGGUUAGGGUUAGGGUUAGGGGUUAGGGUUAGGGUUAGGGUUAGGGUUAGGGUUAGGGGUUAGGGUUAGGGUUAGGGUUAGGGGUUAGGGUUAGGGUUAGGUUUAGGGGAAUGAAUCCCGUCUCCCUCUAGGUUGACCCUGUGGGGAGCGGGGAAUGCACGGUCCUUCGCCCACUGGACACGCUCCCCCGGCCCCCAUGGAUCACUAAUUUGUGUUUAAGGUUUGUAUUUGAUUUGGUUUUAGUGUGUUGUGUUACAUGAUUGUUAUUUCAUUAAUCUCUUUUUUUCAGGUUUUUGAUUGUUUUUGGACACACAAACACACAAACAAACAAACAAAAGGUACAUGAUCGACACAUGAACUAUGUACAGGUGGUGUGCAUCGCGACGACGUUUCGACCCUGCUUGGGUCUUCAUCAGGUCUUAUGCACACAUAAAAUAAAUGGCUGCUGGGCCCCAAUUCAUAGGGGUUAUCCCAGCAAGCAGCCAAAAUAAAAUGAGAAUUUCCUGUCCCCUUUUCCCUUUUAUAUCCUUGGAGCAAUAAUUAGACUUAAUUUCUCGGAUAUUUUUGGUUAUUUUCAACUGUAUUUAGUUUGAGAAAAGUUAACCCUUUAACUGCUGUUUGGUUUUUAAUUAAAUGAUAUAUUUAUCCUUUACCUGUGUUUAGGCUUAGACUGACCUAGGGUUAGGGUUAGGGUCAGUGUUAGGGUUAGGGUUCAAAUCCGAGGCUAGGGUUAGGCUUAGGGUUAGGGCCAGGGUUAGGGUUAGGGUUAGGGGUUAGGGUUAGGGUUAGGGUUAGGGGUUAGGGGUUAGGGUUAGGGUUAGGGUUAGGGGUUAGGGUUAGGGUUAGGGUUAGGGUUAGGGGUUAGGGUUAGGGGUUAGGGUUAGGGUUAGGGUUAGGGGUUAGGUUUUUGGGUAAGUAUCCCGUCUCCCCUAAGUUGCCCUACUUGGGCGGCGGGGAGCGGGGAAUGCACGGUCCUUCGCCCACCGGACACGCUCCCCCGGUCCCACAGGAAACACGACUUGUGCUUAAUAAAUGUUGUUGUUGACUUGGUUUUAAUGUGUUGCGUUAUUGUUUUUAAAUAGUUUCCAUUUUUUUAGGAUUUUUUGUUUUUGUUUUUAAAUAAUUUCCAGUUUUUUAGGAUUUUUUUGUUUUUUAUAUACACAACACACAAACAAACAAACAAACAAACAAACAAUACAUGAUCACACAGGAACUAUGUACAUACAUUGUGCGCGUCGACGACGUUUCGACCCUACUUGGGUCUUCAUCAGGUCAUGCGCACAAAAAAGAAUGGCUGCUGGGCCCCAAUUCAUAGGGGUGUGUACCCAGCAGGCAGCCAAAUAAAAAUGAAGUUAUCCCUGUUCCCCUCUCCCUUUUAUACCCUUGGAGAAAUAAUUUACUGAAUUUUCUUAAAUAAUUUGUGUUAUUUUGUACUCUAUUUAGUUUCUGAAUGUUAACCCUUUAGACGCUGAUUGUUUUUUAAUGCAUGAUAUAUUUAUCUUAUGUUAACCCUUUAGACGCUGAUUGUUUUUUAAUACAUGAUAUAUUUAUCUUAAUGCUGAGGUUAGGCUUCAAGUGACCCCCUAGGGUUAGGGUUAGGGUCAGUAUUAGGGUCAGGGCUAGUAUCCGAGGUUAGGGUUAGAUCCUGAGGUUAGGCUUCAAGUGACCCCUAGGGUUAGGGUUAGGGUCAGUAUUAGGGUCAGGGCUAGUAUCCGAGGUUAGGGUUAGAUCCUGAGGUUAGGCUUCAAGUGACCCCUAGGGUUAGGGUUAGGGUCAGUAUUACGGUUAGGGUUAGUAUCCAAGGUAGGGUUAGGGUUAGGGUUAGGGCCACGAUUGGGGUUAUGGCAAGCGCUAAGGUUAGGGUUAGGGUUAGCGCGAUGGUUAGGGCUAGGGUUAAGUGAGGUUAGGGUUAGGGUUAGGGUUAGGGUUAGGGUUAGGGGUUAGGGUUAGGGUUAGGGUUAGGGUUAGGGUUAGGGUUAGGGUUAGGGUUAGGGUUAGGGUUAGGGUUAGGGUUAGGGUUAGGGUUAGGGUUAGGGUUAGGGUUAGGGUUAGGGUUAGGGUUAGGGUUAGGGUUAGGGUUAGGGUUAGGGUUAGGGUUAGGGUUAGGGUUAGGGUUAGGGUUAGGGUUAGGGUUAGGGUUAGGGUUAGGGUUAGGGUUAGGGUUAGGGGUUAGGGUUAGGGUUAGGGUUAGGGUUAGGGUUAGGGUUAGGGUUAGGGUUAGGGUUAGGGUUAGGGUUAGGGUUAGGGUUAGGGUUAGGGUUAGGGUUAGGGUUAGGGUUAGGGUUAGGGUUAGGGUUAGGGUUAGGGUUAGGGUUAGGGUUAGGGUUAGGGUUAGGGUUAGGGUUAGGGUUAGGGUUAGGGUUAGGGUUAGGGUUAGGGUUAGGGUUAGGGUUAGGGUUAGGGUUAGGGUUAGGGUUAGGGUUAGGGUUAGGGUUAGGGUUAGGGUUAGGGUUAGGGUUAGGGUUAGGGUUAGGGUUAGGGUUAGGGUUAGGGUUAGGGUUAGGGUUAGGGUUAGGGUUAGGGUUAGGGUUAGGGUUAGGGUUAGGGUUAGGGUUAGGGUUAGGGUUAGGGUUAGGGUUAGGGUUAGGGUUAGGGUUAGGGUUAGGGGUUAGGGUUAGGGUUAGGGUUAGGGUUAGGGUUAGGGUUAGGGUUAGGGUUAGGGUUAGGGUUAGGGUUAGGGUUAGGGUUAGGGUUAGGGUUAGGGUUAGGGUUAGGGUUAGGGUUAGGGUUAGGGUUAGGGUUAGGGUUAGGGUUAGGGUUAGGGUUAGGGUUAGGGUUAGGGUUAGGGUUAGGGUUAGGGUUAGGGUUAGGGUUAGGGUUAGGGUUAGGGUUAGGGUUAGGGUUAGGGUUAGGGUUAGGGUUAGGGUUAGGGUUAGGGUUAGGGUUAGGGUUAGGGUUAGGGUUAGGGUUAGGGUUAGGGUUAGGGUUAGGGUUAGGGUUAGGGUUAGGGUUAGGGUUAGGGUUAGGGUUAGGGUUAGGGUUAGGGUUAGGGUUAGGGUUAGGGUUAGGGUUAGGGUUAGGGUUAGGGUUAGGGUUAGGGUUAGGGUUAGGGUUAGGGUUAGGGUUAGGGUUAGGGUUAGGGUUAGGGUUAGGGUUAGGGUUAGGGUUAGGGUUAGGGUUAGGGUUAGGGUUAGGGUUAGGGUUAGGGUUAGGGUUAGGGUUAGGGUUAGGGUUAGGGUUAGGGUUAGGGUUAGGGUUAGGGUUAGGGUUAGGGUUAGGGUUAGGGUUAGGGUUAGGGUUAGGGUUAGGGUUAGGGUUAGGGUUAGGGUUAGGGUUAGGGUUAGGGUUAGGGUUAGGGUUAGGGUUAGGGUUAGGGUUAGGGUUAGGGUUAGGGUUAGGGUUAGGGUUAGGGUUAGGGUUAGGGUUAGGGUUAGGGUUAGGGUUAGGGUUAGGGUUAGGGUUAGGGUUAGGGUUAGGGUUAGGGUUAGGGUUAGGGUUAGGGUUAGGGUUAGGGUUAGGGUUAGGGUUAGGGUUAGGGUUAGGGUUAGGGUUAGGGUUAGGGUUAGGGUUAGGGUUAGGGUUAGGGUUAGGGUUAGGGUUAGGGUUAGGGUUAGGGUUAGGGUUAGGGUUAGGGUUAGGGUUAGGGUUAGGGUUAGGGUUAGGGUUAGGGUUAGGGUUAGGGUUAGGGUUAGGGUUAGGGUUAGGGUUAGGGUUAGGGUUAGGGUUAGGGUUAGGGUUAGGGUUAGGGUUAGGGUUAGGGUUAGGGUUAGGGUUAGGGUUAGGGUUAGGGUUAGGGUUAGGGUUAGGGUUAGGGUUAGGGUUAGGGUUAGGGUUAGGGUUAGGGUUAGGGUUAGGGUUAGGGUUAGGGUUAGGGUUAGGGUUAGGGUUAGGGUUAGGGUUAGGGUUAGGGUUAGGGUUAGGGUUAGGGUUAGGGUUAGGGUUAGGGUUAGGGUUAGGGUUAGGGUUAGGGUUAGGGUUAGGGUUAGGGUUAGGGUUAGGGUUAGGGUUAGGGUUAGGGUUAGGGUUAGGGUUAGGGUUAGGGUUAGGGUUAGGGUUAGGGUUAGGGUUAGGGUUAGGGUUAGGGUUAGGGUUAGGGUUAGGGUUAGGGUUAGGGUUAGGGUUAGGGUUAGGGUUAGGGUUAGGGUUAGGGUUAGGGUUAGGGUUAGGGUUAGGGUUAGGGUUAGGGUUAGGGUUAGGGUUAGGGUUAGGGUUAGGGUUAGGGUUAGGGUUAGGGUUAGGGUUAGGGUUAGGGUUAGGGUUAGGGUUAGGGUUAGGGUUAGGGUUAGGGUUAGGGUUAGGGGUUAGGGUUAGGGUUAGGGUUAGGGUUAGGGUUAGGGGUUAGGGUUAGGGUUAGGGUUAGGGUUAGGGUUAGGGUUAGGGUUAGGGUUAGGGUUAGGGUUAGGGUUAGGGUUAGGGUUAGGGUUAGGGUUAGGGUUAGGGUUAGGGUUAGGGUUAGUUAGGGUUAGGGUUAGGGUUAGGGUUAGGGUUAGGGUUAGGGUUAGGGUUAGGGUUAGGGUUAGGGUUAGGGUUAGGGUUAGGGUUAGGGUUAGGGUUAGGGUUAGGGUUAGGGUUAGGGUUAGGGUUAGGGUUAGGGUUAGGGUUAGGGUUAGGGUUAGGGUUAGGGUUAGGGUUAGGGUUAGGGUUAGGGUUAGGGUUAGGGUUAGGGUUAGGGUUAGGGUUAGGGUUAGGGUUAGGGUUAGGGUUAGGGUUAGGGUUAGGGUUAGGGUUAGGGUUAGGGUUAGGGUUAGGGUUAGGGUUAGGGUUAGGGUUAGGGUUAGGGUUAGGGUUAGGGUUAGGGUUAGGGUUAGGGUUAGGGUUAGGGUUAGGGUUAGGGUUAGGGUUAGGGUUAGGGUUAGGGUUAGGGUUAGGGUUAGGGUUUAGGGUUAGGGUUAGGGUUAGGGUUAGGGUUAGGGUUAGGGUUAGGGUUAGGGUUAGGGUUAGGGUUAGGGUUAGGGUUAGGGUUAGGGUUAGGGUUA